rnacentral:tRNA from 1 species
UGCGAGUAAAGAAAAAUUUUCAUUUUGAUUUGAGAUCAGAUUUUGUUGUAAUUAUUACAGUACUUGUUA